rnacentral:sRNA from 1 species
CAGUGCCACGGUCGUCUGAGCUAAGCUCAACAACGUUGAAUACAAGGGCGCAGAUAUCUGCGCCUUUUUU